rnacentral:misc_RNA from 1 species
GCGCUUCGCGCCUGGCUCCAAACGGGGUGUUCCUUGCGUGGGCACCGGUUUUUUUGGAAUUUUUAUUUUUCCGAAAAAAUCGGCGCCCGCGCAAGGAACACCCCGUUUGGAGCCAGGCGCGAAGCGC